UUUGACACUAGUUCACAUUUCAGAAAUGGAAAUGAAUGUUGGUAUGUGUUUCUGCAUUUAUGCCACUUUGGUGAAAUACUGACUUUUUUUUUUAAUGCUCAAAUAGGCCUAGUAACUUGCAAAGAGAUGGUGCUGAGAUUGGAAUACAGUAAGAAGGUCUAACAUGGUCAAGUGAGUUAAAUGGCUAUGAAUGAAUGGGGAUACCCAGUAAAAAGAUUGUAGGCUCAGAUAUUAACUUGUAGAUGCAGGAUUGAAUGAAGAAAAAUACAAUGGGUAAUUUUAAGUGAGUAUGGACUGUAUACUACAAAACAUUAGUAAUAAAGAUUUAUAGGGUUGUAUAAUUCAUAUGUU